GACUCUCUGUGGGGCCCAGGAGCAGGGAGUCACCCCUUUGGGGCCCACAACAUCCAGUUGUGCCCCAGACUCCUGUCCAGAGAAGAUCGUGUUGAGGGCCCUCCUGAAGAGGGGGGCAGGGAUGCCUGAGCAGGACAAGGACCCCAGAGUCCAAGAGAAUCCUGAUGAUCAGAGAAGGGUUCCUGAGGGCACCGGGGAUGCACAGUCUGCAUUUAGGCCCCUGUGGGACAAUGGAGGCCUCUCUCCCUUCGUGCCCAGGCCUGGGCCUCUGCAGAGAGACCUCCAUGCCCAGAGGUCAGAAGUCGGAUAAAACCAGAGAUCCCAGACCUCCUGGAUGAGUUCGUGCACCAAACAAAAUGCCAUCGUGAGCUCCUACAGUUCCAUGGGAGGCUUCCUGUCACCAAAGAGGAGGGGGCCAGCCUCAUCCCACUGUCAGCUGCCCCUCAGGUCCUCAAAGACAGUGAGUGAGGACCGGCCUCAGGCUGUCUCUUGGGGUCUCACCCAGUGUGAAAAGGCAGCAGAUGCAGCACCAGGGCAGACACUUGCCCCCAGGAAUGGCUCCCCCACAUCCCAGGCCUCUAGGCCCCAUAGAUGCAAGUUUCCUCUGCUGCCACUCAGGCAAGGGGAGCCUCUGAUGCUGCCACCUCCCUUACAGCUGGGGUCUGGGGUCACUGCUGAAGACCUGGACCUGGAGAAGAAGGUGGCACUCUGGUGCAAAAGCGCACUGCGGGGUGAGGCCAAGGCCAUCUGGGACUGCAGACCCUCACGGCCUUCCCACACUUUGUCCUCACUUGCAACAGGGACUUCUUGUCUGCCUGUUGUAUGUAAAGCACCCAGCAUGGAUGCACAGCAGGAGAGACACAAGCCCCAAGAC
rnacentral:lncRNA from 1 species